CCUACGGGUGACAGCAGUCGAGAAUCAUUCACAAUGGGGGAAACCCUGAUGGUGCGACGCCGCGUGGGGGAAUGAAGGUCUUCGGAUUGUAAACCCCUGUCAUGUGGGAGCAAAUUAAAAAGAUAGUACCACAAGAGGAAGAGACGGCUAACGCUGUGCCAGCAGCCGCGGUAAUACAGAGGUCUCAAGCGUGGUCCGGAAUCACUGGGCGUAAAGCGUGCGUAGGCUGUUUCGUAAGUCGUGUGUGAAAGGCGCGGGCUCAACCCGCGGACGGCCCAUGAUACUGCGAGACUAGAGUGUGGGAGGGGGGACCGGAAUUCCAGGUGUAGCAGUGAAAUGCGUAGAUAUCGAGAGGAACACUCGUGGCGAAGGCGGGUUCCUGGACAUUAACUGACGCUGAGGCGCGAAGGCCAGGGGAGCGAAAGGGAUUAGAUACCCGGGUAGUC
rnacentral:rRNA from 1 species